rnacentral:misc_RNA from 1 species
AAGUCGUAAUCAGGUUUGUAGGUGAACCUGCGGAAGGAUCAUUACCGAGUUCUUCUGCUCUGCAGGAACUCCCCACCCCUUGAUUACUAUAGCGUUGCUUCGGCGAGCGCUGGAAACAGCCAUUGACCUCUCACGUCGAUGCGUGCUCGCCCGGAGUUUCAUACUCUACAUUAUGUGUCGUCAGAGAAUCAAAACUAAAAAAA